ensembl:snRNA Gm23113 predicted gene, 23113
GAGCUCACUUUAGCACAUAUGUUAAACUUGGAAUGAUACAGAUUCUCAUGGCCCCUAUGCAAGAAUGACAUGCAAAUUAAUGAUGCAUUCCAAGGUUUA